CACGUAGGCGGAUAUUUAAGUCAGGGGUGAAAUCCCAGAGCUCAACUCUGGAACUGCCUUUGAUACUGGGUAUCUUGAGUAUGGAAGAGGUAAGUGGAAUUCCGAGUGUAGAGGUGAAAUUCGUAGAUAUUCGGAGGAACACCAGUGGCGAAGGCGGCUUACUGGUCCAUUACUGACGCUGAGGUGCGAAAGCGUGGGGAGCAAACG
rnacentral:rRNA from 1 species